rnacentral:rRNA from 1 species
AUGGCUUUUGUGCAACGUCGAAAGGGUCCUGAUGUAGUGGGAUCGUUCGGAUUGUUACAACCUCUAGCAGAUGGUUUGAAAUUGAUUCUAAAAGAACCUAUUUCACCAAGUAGUGCUAAUUUCUCCCUUUUUAGAAUGGCUCCAGUGGCUACAUUUAUGUUAAGUCUGGUCGCUUGGGCCGUUGUACCUUUUGAUUAUGGUAUGGUAUUGUCAGAUCCGAACAUAGGGCUACUUUAUUUGUUUGCCAUAUCUUCGCUAGGUGUUUAUGGAAUAAUUAUAGCAGGUUGGUCUAGUAAGACGGGGGGCGGCCGUUCGGUCGCCUAUGAUAUACGGACCAAUUGGUCAAAAAUGGGGCUAGGGCUCAUAAACCCUUUCUUUCAUUCAUCAAGGGGUCGGUCACUUUUCUGGGCCGGGAUCGAGAAGUGGAAGUCAUAA